AAACAGAAACAACAACGAAAAUGAUCACGGCAAGAAGAUGAUAACAAAUAGAAACAUACAUCAUCGUAAUUGUUAUUGAUGUCGUCCGUUCGUUGACGUUGGAUUGUUUGUAUUUGGCUUUGUCUUCUUCUUCUUCUUCUUCUUUCUUGC
rnacentral:ribozyme from 14 species